GGGCCUUUAGCUCAGUUGGAUAGAGCGUCUGGCUACGAACCAGAAGGUCGGGAGUUCGACUCUCUCAAGGCCCG
rnacentral:tRNA from 1 species